GGCAGUUUGUGGGGUUUACGGUGGUUAUAGUGUUCGAGUGCAGUGCUUAUAGUGCUCACAAGUACUAGGAAGCAGCGAUUGACAGAGGUACCCGGUCGGAGUGCCAGGCAGUCCGUCACAGUACACUAGAUAGCAAAGUCCCUGAAGCUACAGUCCUAUCUACACUGAUGUACUUGAACACCACACAUAUAGGCCCAUAUUUACAUAUAUAUUACGCUGACUCUAGUACUUUAACAAGACUGAGUCCUA